rnacentral:rRNA from 1 species
GAUGAACGCUGGCGGCGUGCCUAAUACAUGCAAGUCGAGCGAACAGAUGAGGAGCUUGCUCCUCUGACGUUAGCGGCGGACGGGUGAGUAACACGUGGAUAACCUACCUAUAAGACUGGGAUAACUUCGGGAAACCGGAGCUAAUACCGGAUAAUAUAUUGAACCACAUGGUUCAAUAGUGAAAGACGGUUUUGCUGUCACUUAUAGAUGGAUCCGCGCCGCAUUAGCUAGUUGGUAAGGUAACGGCUUACCAAGGCAACGAUGCGUAGCCGACCUGAGAGGGUGAUCGGCCACACUGGAACUGGGACACGGUCCAGACUCCUACGGGAGGCAGCAGUAGGGAAUCUUCCGCAAUGGGCGAAAGCCUGACGGAGCAACGCCGCGUGAGUGAUGAAGGUCUUCGGAUCGUAAAACUCUGUUAUUAGGGAAGAACAAAUGUGUAAGUAACUAUGCACGUCUUGACGGUACCUAAUCAGAAAGCCACGGCUAACUACGUG